GACGUAGGGCGCGAGCGUUGUUCGGAAUUACUGGGCGUAAAGCGCACGUAGGCGGCUUUGUAAGUUAGAGGUGAAAGCCCGGGGCUCAACUCCGGAAUUGCCUUUAAGACUGCAUCGCUAGAAUUGUGGAGAGGUAAGUGGAAUUCCGAGUGUAGAGGUGAAAUUCGUAGAUAUUCGGAAGAACACCAGUGGCGAAGGCGACUUACUGGACACAUAUUGACGCUGAGGUGCGAAAGCGUGGGGAGCAAACAGG
rnacentral:rRNA from 1 species